rnacentral:lncRNA from 1 species
CAAGUUUCCUGAGGCCUCCCCAGCCAUAAGGAACUAUGAGUCAAUUAAACCUGUUUCCUUUAUAAAUUGGAACUGUGAGUCAAUUAAACCUCUUUGGUUUAUGAAUUGCCCAGUCUUGGGCAGUUCUUUAUAGCAGUGUGAAAAUGUACUGCCCAUGACUGGGUAAUUCAUUGUGGUAGUUUGUUACAGCAGCCUCAGGAAAUUAAUACAUACUUCUAUCCCUAAAAACUUAAAGGGGAUCCUCCAUACUCUUCCCCUGUCACCUUGCAACUUUAAAGGAUCCAGUAGAUGAUUCCAAAGAUGUACGGAAUGACAGAAAGUUUAUAGGACCCGAGACCAACAGGAGACAGAUCCAAAACUGACAGAAAGCACUUUGGAUAAUCGAGAGAUCCUUGAGUUUGAACUAGAUGCAGUGACUGGAUGGACCUUCAGGUUGGCAGUUAAGUCAGACCAUGUAACUAAGUUUUAACCAAUGAAAAGAGGGCAGCAGUUAUGUAAGCCUUUUCCAAGUUUGAGUCAUAAAAAUAUUAUUUAUGAAAUGUGGUUUCCUUCUUUUCUGUCUGCAGGCCAGAUUUCAAGGAUCUAAUGCAAGACUCUAAUGCCCUAAGGAGUUAAUUUUCAAAUAUCCACAACAAACUAUUACAUGAGUAGGAAAUAAAAUUUAAUUUUGUAAAGCUAGUGAUAUUUUGAAGUUGUUGGUUCUAGGACUUAGUCUAUUCGUAUAAUACACAAAAUUUACCAAAAUACAUUAGCCCAGAAUUAUCUCAUGUAUACCUGAAAUCUAAAACUAUGUAAUUUGAGUUUAUUUGUCCUUUGUCUAUUAGCGAUGAUAUUUUCAGAUGUAUACUCUUUAACCCAAUAAAUAUAAGUCCCAUGAGGACAUUUCCUUCCGCAAUAUACUCUGGAUACUGUCUCUUCUCGUACUUUGCCAGACAGCUUUCUCCAUAAUCUGUUCUCUCUCCUAUUAAUCUCUCCAUUGCACUAGCCCCUUCCUAUUAUCAUUUAAACAUUUUUAUGUCUCCAUCAUGAAAUAAAAUUUCUCCCUUUAUUACAUUUUACCUCACAGAAACAACUACAAUGCAAUUUUUUUCACACAUUCAUAGCCAAACAUAUUCAAAGUGUUGUCCAUUCAUUCUGCACCCACAUCUUUACUAUCUGCUUGUCAAUGUAUUCCAUUCUGGCUUAUAAUUCCACAAUUCAAGCAAAAAUGACUUUUGAUAAAGUCAGAAAUGACCUUUAUCUUGCUAAAUACGAUGGACUUUUGUUCUAAGUAACCUCAAUUUCUUUCAUUUAAUGUUUCUUGUUGGAGUCCUUUUGAAGCACAUUUUCAAAAUAAUUCAAGUAAGUCCAAUUUAUCCAUUUUUCUUUCAUUACUUGUACUCUGUUGUCAUGUUGAGGAACUAUUGCCUAAUCCAAGGUCACAAAGAUUUGCUCCUCUGUUUCUAACAGUUUUAUAGUUUUAGUUCUUGCAUUAAAGUGUGCAAUUCAUUUUGAGUUAGUAUUUGUAUAUGCUGUGGGAUAAAGCUUCAACUUUAUUUUUUUCUUGUGGCUAUCCAGUUGUCUCAGUACCAUGUAUUGAAAACACAUUUCUCUUCCCAGCAUUAUGUUGUUUUGAAAACUUUGUCAAAGACAACUAUCAUAAAUGUAAAUGUUUAUUUUGGGGCUGUCAAUUCGAUUUCACUGACCUGUAUGUAUUUCCUUAAAAUAGCAUUACAGUCUCUUUCUUGAUUACUAAAGUUUUGCAGUAAAUUUUCAAAUCAGAUUAUGUAGAGUCCUAUAACUUUGUUCUGUUUUAAAAAAGAUUAUUUUGGCUAUUCUUGGUUUUUUUCCUCAUAAAUUUUAGAAUCAACUUGUCAAUUUCUGCAACUAGGCCCUCUGGAUCUUGAUAGCAAUCAUGUUGAAUCUGUAGAUCUAUUUGGGGAAUAUUGCCAUUUAACCAAUACUAAGUCUUCUAAUCUGGAAUAUCUUUUUAUUUAUUUAAGUCUUUGUUUUCUUUCAAUAAUGGUUUAUAGCUUUUACUGUAUAAGUUAUGAACUUUUUUGUUAAAAUUUCCCUAAAUAGUUUAUUCUUUUUGAUGCUAUUGAAGAUAAAAUUUUAUAAUUUCAUUUUUAGGUAGUUAAUUGCUAGUGUAUAGGAAUAUAAUUUAUUUUUGUAUAUCAAUCUUAUAUAUUAUAGCCUUGAUGAAUUCAUUUAUUAAUUCUAAUUGUCUUUCAGUGGAUUAUUUAGAAUUUUCUACGUACAAGAUUGCAUCAUCCGAAAGUAGAAAUAGAUUUACAACUUUAUUUUAGUCUAGUUAACUUUUUUUAUUGCCUAAUUAUCCUCACGAGAACGUUCAGUAUAGCUAUGUUAUGGGAAACAGCAUUCAUUUUUUCACCAGGAAGUGUGAUGUAAACUGUAGGAUUUUUAUAAAUGUUCGUUAUCAAGUUAAGGAUGUUUCCUUCUAUUCCUAAUUUGUUGAGGUUUUUUUUUAAACAACAACAACAACAACAACAACAAAAAUUAAAAACUGUUGGAUUUUGUCAAAUGCUUUUUUGUGUCUAUGGUAAUAAUCAUGUUUUUGCUUUUACUAUAUUAAUUCUUUGUGAAAAUUGAUUGAUUUUUAAAGUAUUAAACCAACCAUGUAAUACUGGGAUAAAUCCCAAUUGGUCAUAGUAUGUACAAAUGUUUAGAUGCUGGUGGAUUCGAUAUUUGCAUCUAUAUUUAUAAGGAAUAUUGGUCUGUAAGUUUUUCCUUGUA